rnacentral:rRNA from 1 species
GAUGAACGCUGGCGGCGUGCCUAAUACAUGCAAGUCGAGCGAACAGACGAGGAGCUUGCUCCUCUGACGUUAGCGGCGGACGGGUGAGUAACACGUGGAUAACCUACCUAUAAGACUGGGAUAACUUCGGGAAACCGGAGCUAAUACCGGAUAAUAUAUUGAACCGCAUGGUUCAAUAGUGAAAGACGGUUUUGCUGUCACUUAUAGAUGGAUCCGCGCCGCAUUAGCUAGUUGGUAAGGUAACGGCUUACCAAGGCAACGAUGCGUAGCCGACCUGAGAGGGUGAUCGGCCACACUGGAACUGAGACACGGUCCAGACUCUUACGGGAGGCAGCAGCAGGGAAUCUUCCGCAAUGGGCGAAAGCCUGACGGAGCAACGCCGCGUGAGUGAUGAAGGUCUUCGGAUCGUAAAACUCUGUUAUUAGGGAAGAACAAAUGUGUAAGUAACUAUGCACGUCUUGACGGUACCUAAUCAGAAAGCCACGGCUAACUACGUG